GGGUGCUAGUUUUCUUGUAGAAAUCGUAUCUUGAUGGUUGAAAAUCUUCUUUUCUCUUAAAAUACUCUUAGAGAAUAAGAAGAUGUAGGAGGAUCUUGAUCUCUACACUAGCAAUCAUGAGAAGAAUUCUUUCUUCUAUUUUCUUCCUAAAAUCCAUACAACAAAUCUCUACAAUAGAGAUGUAAGAAUUUUAUCCAACUUUUGGAUAAAGGAAGAAGAGACAACUAUGUCUAAACAUGGACAAAAGAGAUAGAGGGAGAUAUCCUAACAACCAACUCUUGGUUGUUGCAAGAAAGAAGUGAUCAAAGUCAACAAACCUCACGCCAUACCCAUACACGCCGCACCCUCCUCUCUUGAAUUUUUUCUCCACACACUCCCUUCUUUUUGGACAUCCCAACUUGAUCUGAAAAUCUUCUCUCACCAUCCCAUAUGGUGGGGUUUAUAUAGGCUAAGGGUAGUUAGAGAUUGGCUAGGAAUCAAAAGGCCUUGUAGCCUUGGACUCUUAGUUUUUUCAUGCCGCCAAAACCAAGUCUUUUUAUGCCCAUAUUACACGAUAACAAAGGGGUUCUAAAAGGCUUCUUACACAUUAAAUAAGAAGGAGAAGUAGGCAUCAAAAUCUGGUAGGGGGUGUGCACAAAAUCAAUAUGGCGUGAACCUUGUUUCGUGGCGCA
rnacentral:lncRNA from 1 species